AUUGAACGCUGGCGGCAGGCCUAACACAUGCAAGUCGAGCGGAUGAAGGGAGCUUGCUCCUGGAUUCAGCGGCGGACGGGUGGGUAAUGCCUAGGAAUCUGCCUGGUAGUGGGGGAUAACGUCCGGAAACGGGCGCUAAUACCGCAUACGUCCUGAGGGAGAAAGUGGGGGAUCUUCGGACCUGACGCUAUCAGAUGAGCCUAGGUCGGAUUAGCUAGUUGGUGGGGUAAAGGCCUACCAAGGCGACGAUCCGUAACUGGUCUGAGAGGAUGAUCAGUCACACUGGAACUGAGACACGGUCCAGACUCCUACGGGAGGCAGCAGUGGGGAAUAUUGGACAAUGGGCGAAAGCCUGAUCCAGCCAUGCCGCGUGUGUGAAGAAGGUCUUCGGAUUGUAAAGCACUUUAAGUUGGGAGGAAGGGCAGUAAGUUAAUACCUUGCUGUUUUGACGUUACCAACAGAAUAAGCACCGGCUAACUUCGUG
rnacentral:rRNA from 1 species